ACAUGUUAGGUUUUUUACUCAUUUAUUUGGGAAGGUGGUCCUCAGAAAUGUUUUGACAAUCACAAGUGGGCCUUCAGUUGCAAAAGGUUGAGAACCCCUGGUUUAGUAGAGCCUGGCAGAAAUGACAUGUCCAUUUACCAUGGCACAAUUAAUUCACCAAGAUCAACCACUAUACUCAUAUGUGGGUGUUCACCAUCGCCCACACAUACACACAUACAAAGAUCUGAACUGUUGACUUUCUGAUGGGGGACUUCUUGUGAACACAGGCAGGUAUUCUAGAAGAAAUAUUAGCAGACUGAAUAUGAUGUAGACAUCAAACAAAACACAAUAUCUAACUGGUUCUUGCUGCCACGUAAGACACAAAAAGGUUAAUGUGAAAACAGCGAUCAGGUUAAAGGGACGGUGUGUAGGAUUUAGUCCCAUCUAGUGGUGUGGUUGCAGACUGCAACUAACUGAGUACCUCUCUGCUCACUCCUCCCUCUCCAAGACUGCAGUAAUGUGAGGUGCCCAGUGCAAAACCAAGGUAACACCGUUGGCCUCGCUCAGAGGCCAUCCAUACCAUAAUAACACUACUUUAGGGGCAACAGGAAGUCAUAUGGUGACUGGCGGUAUUACGGUUUAGCACUCUAGAUGUUCUAUGUUAACAAGAGGUCAGAAGAGUUCUUUCUCUGCAUGUCUUAAUGUCAACACUGUCAGUCGUGGCCCGUCAUUAAAACCUUACCGGGGUUAAAGUCGGACCCCUCACCACCCAGUCAUUAAAACCUUACCGGGGUUAAAGUUGGACCCCUCACCACCCCGUCAUUAAAACCUUACCGGGGUUAAAGUCGGACCCCUCACCGUCCCCUCAUUAAAACCUUACCGGGGUUAAAGUCGGACCCCUCACCGUCCCCUCAUUAAAACCUUACAGGGGUUAAAGUCGGACCCCUCACCGUCCCCUCAUUAAAACCUUACCGGGGUUAAAGUCGGACCCCUCACCGUCCCCUCAUUAAAACCUUACCGGGGUUAAAGUCGGACCCCUCACCACCCCAUCUAUAACCACACAGCAUAGCGUGGAUUACCAGCAGUCAGUGCAGGAUGAUUUAGGCUAACAAGGCUAGUGCAGUGGGCUGAAGAGUUGAUAAUCUGUAUAAAACUAGAAGCCAGCUCUAAAGGUCUCAUAUUAUGCUAAUUUCCAGGUUCAUAGAUGUAUUUUAAUGUUGUACUAGAACAUGUUUACAUGCUGCAAUGUUCAAAAAACCCUUUAUUCUUCUCAUAGUGUCUCUCUCACUCAGCCUGCAUUUAGCCUCUGUCUGAGAGAUCCUGAUUUACAGCCUGUCUCCUCCCACUCUGCUCUGAUUGGUCAGCGUUUCUGUCAAUCAAAGUCCUCAACAACACAGCGUCACAGAUAGAGAGAGAGAGCUACCUGUAGCUCUGAGUGCAGCUCUGACUGUAAGGAGAGGGAGAAGCAGCUAGAAUAGAGUUUAUAAACCACUUUAAAGUUUAUAAGCCAGAAACUUCACCCAGCGCACGUUCCCGGAGGAAUCUGAUCAGAAAUCGGCAACAAAUGAUCAACAUCUGCGGUCCAGAUUCCAGGUUUUCCUGAUGGUUUCUCUCAGAUCCAUCUGUGAGAAAUGACCGACAGAAUCAUCCCAGAGGAGAAGAAAACAUUAGCAGUGAGCAAAUAGUUCUGUUUACAUGAGAUACAGAGCUACCCGUUAGCAUGUAGCUACAUGCUAAUGGGUUAGCUACAUGCUACCGCUAUGAGACGAUGUGUAAACACAGCGACCAUCAGGGUGGAAAUAGAAGAUGUGAAACAGUAGUCAGUUCAUUAUUUCUGGUAAAAGACACCUGAUAAACGUAGUAAAGUAAUCAGAGUAAUGGUAUAUUAGUUACUGUAGAAGCUGUCUCUGUGUUACCAUGACUACAGACCACCGGAGCUUAGUUUACCGGAGCUGAAAGAUUUUCUCCUGUACCAUGUCAACAUAACUGCAGGUGGGAUGAUUACAAAUGCUGUGAAUAAUUAAUAUUGUCAUCUGUCUACUCAAAUAAAGUUUGACUGUGAAACAGAAA